CCUACGGGGGGCAGCAGUGAGGAAUAUUGGUCAAUGGACGAGAGUCUGAACCAGCCAAGUAGCGUGAAGGAUGACUGCCCUCUGGGUUGUAAACUUCUUUUAUAUGGGAAUAAAAUGUUCCACGUGUGGGAUUUUGUAUGUACCAUAUGAAUAAGGAUCGGCUAAAUCCGUGCCAGCAGCCGCGGUAAUACAGAGGGUCCGAGCGUUAUCCGGAUUUAUUGGGGUUAAAGGGAGCGUAGGUGGAUUUUUAAGUCAGUUGUGGAAGUUUGCGGCUCAACCGUAAAAUUGCAGUUGAAACUGGCAGUCUUGGGUAGAGUAGAGGGGAGCGGAAUUCGUGGUGUAGCGGUUAAAUGCUUAGAUAUCACGAAGAACUCCGAUUGCGAAGGCAGUUCACUGGACUGCAACUGACACUGAGGCUUGAAAGUGUGGGGAUCAAACAGGAUUAGAUAACCUGGGUAGUC
rnacentral:rRNA from 1 species